GUACUUGUUAUCUGCCUCCCAGGGAGAAAGACGCUACGGUCCUGUUUCUUGAGCUUAGAGUUGGCAAACACGACUGACACCUGAUUGUCCAGAAACCAGAGGGGAGUAGAAGCAACUCAAAUGUCCUUUCAGUUUUCUGAGAACCUACGCCACAGCCACGACAAUGCUGGAUCCAAGUUGCAUCUGGGACCCAUCUGCAGCUUGCGGCAUCGCUGGAUCCUUAACCCACUGAGCGAGGCCAGGGAUGGAAUCCACAUUUACAUGGACACUAUGUCAGGUUGUCAACCCACUGAGCCACAAUAGGAACUCCCUCUCUGACUUUUCUGAAUCUUCAUAGUUCAGGGUGUUUUUUGCACUUGGAACACAUCUCAACUCAAGUGUGUCACCAAGCACUCAACAGUCAUGUGUAGCCACCAUACUGGGCAACGCAGGUCUGGUCUCUGCCUAUACCACUCAUUUGAAACUCCUCUCUGACCAGACACCAGUGACCCCCUAAGCCAAAUGGCCUCUUCUCACACCCAAGUCUCCUCCAAGUUCUCUUUGAAGUCUCUGCCACAUGAAGCACAUUUGAUUACCCACUCCCUGAAAUUUUCUCCUCCCUUAAUUUACAAAACCUGACAUCUCUGUUCCCCCCGUCCCUCCGAUGGUGUUGUCACAGGGCUCUUGCUGCCCUCCAAACAUAAGUCAUCUUUCUCUCUCUCUCUCUCUUUGAACAGCUCCCAAACCCAGGCUCCAGGCUGGACCUCCCUCCUCCAUUCAACUCACACACUCCCAGCAGCCUAAGGGACUUCUGCACCUAGCAUCCCUCAGCAUCCAAGACCAAAUGUUCUAGACCGGCCCUAGCAU
rnacentral:lncRNA from 1 species